CCCAGAUGAAAACUGCAGAACAAGUCCCGCUGAAAAAUGAUAUGUACAGACAAGUAAGCAUGUGUACAGAUGCAAUUUCAAACAAUGUAAUUCAUGAGCUCCCUUCUGGGAAACCUUGACUCUCAUUGUUGGCAGGUGGCCAGACAUUAUUAUGCACAUCAAAAGACCUAUUUGCUGUUCCCUAUGGAAAGGUAUCUUGAAUCCUUGUCCCUUCCCAACUGUCCAUCUACUAAGGUCUUUCAACUAUAGUAACAUCAAAUUCACCAUCUCCAACAAGGAGUACGACGAUUCCACAGUUUGCUC